GAUUGCCUAACGGCUCUGAAUUGGACUUCAAACUGUUGUAGAGUUUUUAGCUGGUUAGCUUCCUGAAAUUGUUAGCUGAUAUGUUGGAAAUAGUUAGGGUUUUUAUUGUCAGAAGAGUAAAAGACUUGCAUGAGAGGAUGAUAAGGUGUGUAAUGGAAGAAUCUUGAUCACUUUCUUUUCUCCGAACCUACUUCUCGGUGGCUUUCUAUAACUUGAUUCCUUGAAAAAUCAAUUCUCGCCUACUUCUCUUCAAGAUCCCAUUGCAUCCGCCGCGACCCAUAAUCCUCUCUCAUCACUCAUCAUUUCUGCCAGAGGUGAUGAUGCAGUGUUUGCAUGAGCGACUCAAGGAGUGGGAGUAUAUCACCUGUGAUCACUUUGCCGGUAGUAUUGGGUUCGUGGCUGGGGGCUUCAUGCAAUUGGUGAGGUCUUACCCAUUUGGGCGCUUCUUCUGAUUGAGGGGUUGCAGAACUUUGUUGGUAUGGAGGUCAUCCAGAAAUUGCCUUCUCUGCCUCUUUGGGUGUAGGAGAGAGUCUUCUUCCUGAGAAAGAUAAACAAGGAGGAGGUAAAUCUAGGCUGACGCAGGAUGGAAAUGAGGUCUUCUGACUGAGCAUGAAGAUGAGAAGCCUGUAAAGCGGAGUCGCUCUUGUAUCAGAAAGACAUAAAUGAAUAGCUCAUCUACAUUUAAACUGUUCCAAGCAUCUGCAAGAGGAGCAGUAAUAGUCAAGUGCAAAAUAUGUCCACAUAGUGGGGAGGAUCACUUUGACGCAAGCCUUAAUUAAGGCAAUUUCCUGCUUAUGUUUUUCUUCCUCAUGUUGGCUUCUGGAUCUGAUUUGACCGGAUAAUUUGGGUCAGACUCGUCAAUCUUGGGAUUAGUAUUUGGAACUUUCUUGGCUGUUUUGGUGUUGGCUACUUGUUUUAAGCUAUCAUCAGAAAAUUUAGCUACCCAAGUCUGGUGGCCAGGGCUGUUUUCAGGUGAUAAUGGCUGAUAACUCAAGGGACAGUAAUUGUGUUCUAUAUGCUGAUUCAAGCUGGAGUUAAUAUCUCAAGCGCUGGAGGAUGUGUGCCAAAUAAAAGUUGAAAUUUCCCAUCCCCGUACCAUCAUUUUUAUAUCCCUUUUGUUCCCCUCUUUCCCAUUAGGUUUGGACGUGUCAUCUAAAAUGUCGUGGGCUGAUAUAACACAAGAGACAUGAAGUGCACACAUGGUUAUAUGCUGAUUCAAGGUGGAGUUAAUACUUAAUGUCUCAAGUGCUGGAGGGAUGUGUGCAAAAGGAAAAGUUCCCCAUCCCCGUACCGUCGGUUUUAUACCCUUUUGUUCUCCUCUUUCCCGUUUGGUCUAGCCAUGUCAUCUACGAUGUCAUACUGCCACCUACCAUAGGCUGACCAUACUUUUGGUAGUGCGCACAUGUUUGUCCAUAAGGAGUGUUUAUCACAGGCAGUCGGCUAUUUAUUGCUAGGUCAACUGAGCCGAAAUGACAAAGACACAUUGUAAUCUUUCUCGGAGAUUUGGGUGAGGUUGUCCGGGAGAGCAUUACUAGGCGGGUUUUCAAGCGCGUGUUUGUCCAUAAGGAGUGUUUAUCAUAGGCAUUCGGCUAUUUAUUGCUAGGUCAACUGAGCCGAAAUGACAAAGACACAUUGUAAUCUUUCUCAGAGAUUUCGGUGAGGUCGUCCGGGAGAGCAUUACUAGGCGGGUUUUCAAUUACCAGUCCAUCAGUACCUGACCCGACUUCCUCGGGUUAUCCUUUUUUGGUUGUUUCCCGUAUGGGAUCCACGUGGCACCGGCUUAUUUGAUGUGUAAAUUCAGGAGAUAUCAAUGGCUAUUGGACUUUUCUAUUAAUACAAUGGGGACCGAGGAAAUUUACAUUGCGAGCAUUUUGAUAAGACUUGGCUAUGGUUGGCAGUUGUCUUUGCUGCAAUCCCUAAACUAUUUGGAUUAAAUAGUAUGGCGGCCUUGGUGCGAUUUUCUACCGACCAUUCUCUAAUGUUCUCAGAUGUUAUUGGUAGAGGUAUGUAUAACUAUUAUGUAGAGAAACGAGCUCGCAUCCAAAAGCUAAGUUCAGAAAUGUGCUUGAAAUGCAUCCUUGGGAGGAAUCACUUACUAGUGGGGUUCCAUAUGUUAUUCACUCACUUUCAGGAUGACAUUUUUUUGUUAUUGCCAUGAUAUUGAGUUUGAUUGUGGUUCAUCAGCAUAGGAAUUGCAUAUGUGCUGUGGAAAGACUAAUAUUUGAGUUGUAAGGAGAAGCAACUAUAGAUUGCUUUCCGUAUAGAUUAGCAUCCUACUUAGCAAAGGACGAUUCGGAGGCAUUAAAUUAAAGUAAAUACUGAACAAAUCGAGGAUUCUCUUUUCAUUAAAUUUUCUCAAAACAAAUUGUAUUCCUUUGCAGGAUUUGGAAGCAUUUGCCUAUGGUAGUUUAUUCAACUUCCAUGAAGGUUUUUCCUUGGACCAGGAGGUUAUUUUGUUAGGCCAGGAUCGUACUUCUGUAUUUCAUUGUGUUAUAGUGAACCAUUACAUGCUUAAUGAAAAAUAAAUUCAUACAUUUCUUAUUUCUUGUUGUAUGCUUACUUUCUGGAAUUUCUUGAAUAAGGCACAUUUAUCUGAAACUAUAUAGGUGAUUCUGAUGAAUGCUAUUGAUUGUGUGUGAUCUCUAGUUUGCUUAGCAAAGGAUGAUUCGGAGGCAUUAAAUUAAAGUAAAUACUGAACAAAUCGAGGAUUGUCUUUUCAUUAAAUUUUCUCAAAACAAAUUGUAUUCCUUUGCAGGAUUUGGAAGCAUUUGCCUAUGGUAGUUGAUUCAACUUCCAUGAAGGUUUUUCCUUGGACCAGGAGGUUAUUUUGUUAGGCCAGGAUCGUACUUCUGUCUUGCACUGUGUUAUAGUGAACCAUUACAUGCUUAAUGCAAAAUAAAUUCAUACAUUUUUUAUUUCUUGUUGUAUGAACAUGUAUCUGAAUUUUCUUGAAUAAGGCACAUGUAUCUGAAACUAUAUAGGUGAUUCUGAUAGAAUGCUA